rnacentral:lncRNA from 1 species
ACGGCCUAAAUGGUGACUCAGUUGCUUUUCCAGGAGAAGAAGCAAGCUACGGCAAAGAAGUUGGAGUCGUGGCUGCAAAUUCCGGUGAUCCAAGCGCGGGUCUCUGACGAAACCUCUUUACCUCUCUGUUUCAACUUAAAAGUGGAAGUUUGGAACAGUGUGGGAACAAAUAACAUGUUUGUGUUGAAGAGAACAACAAAACAACAGUAACCACUUGCAAUAAGUUUUCUUUCUGAGUAAGUCGAUGAUCAUAUGAUCUUGUUAAAAGUUCAUUAUUAUGCAACAAACUUAUGUUUAUACAUGUUUAAAGUUUAGUUUGAGAGCAUGUUUUCUCAGUUGUAAUAUUUAGUAAAAUAGAUUCAAGUGCUCUACUCAUUGUUAAUGCAUUUGGUUAAUCUUCACUAUACAUCUAUCUAUUCAAGGAUUUGGCUAAAAUUUCAAAUUGAUUUCAUUUUUAAAGAGAAACUUAACAUUUAGUUCGGAAAUCAAUUGCUUCAUAACUCUAAUCAUAAUGAGUAAAGAAUCCAGUUUAUCGACACGUAAGUCUGAGUAUAAUGCUUCCUUUCAAUAACUGUGUCAAUGAUUCUAACUCUUAUCAGCUAUUAUGUUUCUUUAUCAGAGCUGUUGCAGCUGAAGUCUGUGAGGAACUGUUUAGUCCAGUUCCUCCUCAUGCUGAGCUUGCGUUGAACGGUGUGGAGGUGUUUAUGAAUGCGAGUGGGAGUCAUCACCAGCUAAGAAAGCUUGAUAUUCGUUUGAAUGCUUUCAUGGGGGCUACUCACGCUCGCGGUGGGGUUUAUAUGUACAGUAAUCAACAGGGAUGCGAUGGUGGCCGCUUAUACUACGGUUUGUUCAUUUCUGAGUAAUCCUAUCUUCUCUUUUAGUGACCAUCUUGAUUUGUUUCGUUUUAACUCAAUUGCAGAUGGAUGUGCAUGCAUUGUUGUAAAUGGGGAUGUUGUAGCUCAAGGGUCACAGUUCUCGUUGAAGGACGUUGAGGUCAUCACUUCCCAAGUGGACCUAGAUGCGGUACCCUACAGUUAACCUCUGGUUUUACUUUCUUUUGAUGAUAUAUAUAUAUAUAUAAUCAUCUUGCUUUCUUUGCUUUGGGAAAGGUUGCUAGUCUUCGCGGAUCGAUAAGUAGUUUUCAGGAACAAGCAAGUUGUAAGGUGAAAGUAUCUUCAGUAUACGUGCCCUGUAGGCUGACUCAGUCCUUCAACCUAAAAAUGACACUAAGCAGUCCAAAGAAGGUUCUCUAUCCCUCUGCUUCCUAUAUGUUUAAAAGUGAAUGUUUUAAAAGUUUCCAAAUCUAAUACUUGUUAGUAUGUAGAUUAUGUACCACUCUCCACAAGAAGAAAUAGCCUUUGGUCCUGCUUGCUGGUUAUGGGACUAUUUGAGAAGAAGCGGCGCUUCAGGGUUUUUACUUCCCCUUUCUGGUGGAGCAGACAGCUCGUCUGUGGCAGCUAUUGUUGGAUGCAUGUGCCAACUUGUUGUUAAAGGUAUGUUGGACUGUGAUUCUCUUAUUGGACAACCAUGUGAAUAACUUGAAGCAAUGUUCAAGAAUUCGCUAGGUGGUAACUAGAUGUUUCGUAUAAAACUAGCGACCAGACAAAUUAUUCGGGGCCUAAGACCCCGUCUAGGGGUUAACAAACUAUCAAUUUAUUUUUUAUAUAUUUUACAUUUACAUUCGAUUUUUUAGCUUUUGGGUUUAAUUAUAAAUUUAUUUUGAUGAACUAUAAAAAAAUUACAUAUACAAAAAGAAAAUAAAGUAGACAAAUUUGUGGAUUUGCACUAACAUUAUUGUUUAAUUUUAGCAGAUUCAAAUUAAUUUAGAUUGAUUUAGACCAGUUUAAACCCAUUUUAACCAAUUUAAAAUGGUUUAAACCGAUCAAAUGGAGAAGAUUGUUACCAAUUUAUUGUCUAGACCAAUAUUUAGAAUAUCGACUUUGACUGGAAGAGACUUCCAUGAUGUUGUUGAUAUUUUUCUCGUGUAGAGAUUGCAAAUGGAGAUGAGCAAGUGAAAACUGAUGCGAAACGGAUUGGGAACUAUACUAAUGGAGAGUUUCCAUCUGAUAGCAAAGAGUUUGCUAAGCGAAUAUUUUACACUGUGUUUAUGGGGUCUGAAAACAGGUAAUUUAGUUAACAGUAACAAAGAAGAUAUCGCUGCAGCAAACAUGAAACGUUUUGCUUAUUGAGAUCUUGAUUUUGCAGUUCUGAGGCGACAAAAAUGCGUGCAAAGCAGCUGGCAGACGAGAUCGGUGCAUGGCAUCUUGAUGUUUGCAUAGAUGGCGUUGUCUCUGCGGUUCUAACUUUAUUUCAAACGGUUACUGGCAUGCGUCCUCGGUAUAAGGUAUCUAGCACUGGAUCAACAAUCCAAACUUGAUGAUAAUAAAAUGAAAUGAAAUGAAGAGGAAAUGGUUAUGGGUUUUGUUGUGUACAGGUUGAUGGAGGAUCAAACGUUGAGAAUCUUGGGUUGCAGAACAUUCAAGCACGGAUGAGAAUGGUGUUAGCGUUUAUGUUAGCGUCUCUCUUGCCUUGGGUUCAUAGCAAACCAGGCUUUUACCUUGUUCUAGGCAGCUCCAAUGUUGAUGAAGGACUUCGUGGUUACCUGACAAAGGUGAUGGGGACUUAUCUCUUUUUACUGCUACAUAGAUUGUUAAUGUAAAUACACUCUUUUGGUUGAAACAGUAUGAUUGUAGCUCAGCAGACAUAAACCCCAUAGGAAGUAUUAGUAAACAGGAUCUGAGGUUGUUCCUAAGAUGGGCUGCAACGAAUCUCGGUUAUCAGUCCUUGGCAGAGAUAGAAGCUGCUCCACCAACAGCUGAGCUUGAGCCCAUUCGUUCUGACUAUUCUCAGGUAAUAACAAAACUGUUUGGGAGUCUCUAUUAGGCGGGUAGUUUGGUUCAACAUAAACUUACUGAACUAAUCCAAAAUAAAGUUUGGUAUUUGGUUAGUUCGGUUUUUGAAAAUCCUAUCAAAGUUUUUUAGUUGGUCAUAUUUUUGUUUAAUUUUUUAUUAAAAUUUCGGAUAAGUUUGGUUAAAUUCGGUUAGUUUGGUUAUUUGGUUUGAAAUUUGGUAUGUUUUGAUUAUAGUUGCUGAACUGAACCAAAAACCAAACUUUUUAUAAAUCCUACUGAAUCAAACCGAACUAACUGAAAAUUUCAGUUUGGCGGGUUCGGUUCAAAAUCCCAUCCCUGGUUUCUAUAGCUGAAGUGUUUAUUCAGACAUCUUGUGUUGUGAAAACAGCUUGAUGAAGUCGACAUGGGAAUGACAUAUGAAGAGCUCUCAGUCUAUGGAAGGAUGAGGAAGAUAUUCCGGUGUGGCCCAGUUUCCAUGUUCAAGGUUUGAGUUCUGAUCUUUAGACAAAUGUACUAAACCAUGAUGCACUGAGACUAUAAUUGUUUUGUAAUGAUUCUGCAGAAUCUAUGUUACAAGUGGGGAACAAAGCUAAGCCCAGCAGAAGUAGCUGAGAAAGUGAAGUACUUCUUCAAGUAUUAUUCGAUCAAUCGACACAAGAUGACUGUCCUCACACCGUCCUACCACGCUGAGGUACUGCUACUGAACAGAAACUUGUCUGAUACAUGUUUUGAAACUGUCACGAGUGAGAGAAAACUCAAUAGGGGUUCUCUUGUUGCAGAGUUACUCUCCAGAGGACAACAGGUUCGAUCUGAGGCAGUUUCUGUAUAAUAGCAAGUGGCCAUACCAGUUCAAGAAGAUUGACGAGAUUGUUGACGGCCUAAAUGGUGACUCAGUUGCUUUUCCAGGAGAAGAAGCAAGCUACGGCAAAGAAGUUGGAGUCGUGGCUGCAAAUUCCGGUGAUCCAAGCGCGGGUCUCUGACGAAACCUCUUUACCUCUCUGUUUCAACUUAAAAGUGGAAGUUUGGAACAGUGUGGAAACAAAUAACAUGUUUGUAUUGAAGAGAACAACAAAACAACAGUAACCACUUCCAAUAAGUUUUCUU